UACAGAGGCCCCAAGCGUUACUGAGAAUCACUGGGCUUAAAGGGUGCGUAGGCGGCGCGUUAAGUCCGUUGUGAAAUCCCUGGGCUCAACCCAGGAAUUGCUUCGGAUACUGGCGUGCUUGAGGCUAGUAGGGGUCACUGGAACUGACGGUGGAGCGGUGAAAUGCGUAGAUAUCGUCAGGAACGCCGAUGGUGAAGACAGGUGACUGGGCGAGUUCUGACGCUGAGGCACGAAAGCGUGGGGAGCGAACGGG
rnacentral:rRNA from 1 species